GCAUAGCCAUUUCGGGGCUGUCGUCCGUUAGAUUUUUCUGAAAGGUAACUAUCUCGGUUUCAUAUCAUAUAGAAAUUUAUAUAGAAUCCUUGAAAAAGACUUCUUCCUCAUAAAAAAGACUUACUGUCUUUGGGAUCUAAUGCUACACCGCUGCUCAAUAACUUAGGGGAUCGGCUCUAUUACAUAAAUCGAUUCCUAAUUUUUAUCUCAUAUCAUGACAUAAAUAAGCAGUUCUUAUUUAUUGUAUCGGCUCAAAACCUCGCUAAUUGAUCUUUACGGCGCUUCCUCUAUCAAUUAGA
rnacentral:lncRNA from 1 species